rnacentral:rRNA from 1 species
AAAGGAAUAGACGGGGGCCCGCACAAGCGGUGGAGCAUGUGGCUUAAUUCGACGCAACGCGAAGAACCUUACCUGGGCUCGAAAUGCAGGGAAAACCUCCUGAAAGGGGGGCUGCCGCAAGGCGUCCUGUAUAGGUGCUGCAUGGCUGUCGUCAGCUCGUGUCGUGAGAUGUUGGGUUAAGUCCCGCAACGAGCGCAACCCUCGUCCCUAGUUACCAGCACGUUAUGGUGGGUACUCUAGGGAGACUGCCUCGGGACAACGAGGAGGAAGGUGGGGAUGACGUCAAGUCCUCAUGGCCCUUACGUCCAGGGCUGCACACGUGCUACAAUGGCAUAGACAACGCGCUGCAAACCCGCGAGGGGGAGCCAAUCGCUUAAACUAUGCCCCAAUUCAGAUUGGAGUCUGCAACUCGACUCCAUGAAGCCGGAAUCGCUAGUAAUCACGGAUCAGCUACGCCGUGGUGAAUAAGUUCCCGGGCCUUGUACACACCGCCCGU